GGCUUGGUGGUCUAGAGGUAUGAUUCCUUCUUAGGGUUUCCCUUGCGGUUUCUAUAUUGGAGGAGGUCCCGGGUUCGAUUCCCGGCCAAGCCC